CUGGUAAGUUCACAAACCCAGUCAUGCUUUUGGUUUGGCCUGAAACUCAUGAAAUCAAGGGUUUUCCGAAAGUUAACAACGAGGUACUGUUCAUGAUGUUUUAAUCUAGGGUUUUUGGACCAAUCUAAGAUCAUAGGAGUUCAUAAAAUGAUCUUGUGAAGCUCGGAUGACCAAGUUGGAGGUUUUUGGACGUCAGGAUCACGCCAUUCGAAGUUGACCGAUUUUGGAGGAUUUUCCUGACGAAAUUUCAGAGGUUUUCAAAGGUUUUUGAAGGCGAGGCUUAUAUGGAUGAUGAGCACAGUUAAGGGAGGCUCGGGGGCUACGACCCUUCGACAUAUCUGUUCAAGAUAGCAGAGUUUUGGUGGCCAUGAGGAAUUCAGCGGUGUUCUGACAGAAUUGUUAAAAGUAGGACUCACCAUCGGGGGUUUCUUUUUAGCAACUGUAUUUUAAAAGCUUCCGAACUGUGUAAAUGGUUACGUCACUCUCACGUGACGGCCAGCAUGCCCUACUCCGGGAUGGGGUGUGUCAUUCAUCGUUUAUCUUCCCCAUCAUUUUCUCUUUGUCAAAUCAUGCAUCAAUCUCUUAAUUUUCUUCAUCGAUUAAGAUAAUUUGUA